rnacentral:pre_miRNA from 1 species
GCAACAUUCGGACCGUCGAUCUACCGAGCAAUUACACCCGCUCGGUUGAAAACCUUCCAUGCGUCGU